CUGCUGUAGUGGGGAUUGUAGUUGAUGAAGACAAAGCCACGCGCCUGAUCAAUGCAGUGAAACAGUGGGUUCCAGUCAAACAUUUUUAGCAUGAAUGUCGGCAGGGUAUUGGCCAGAAACAUCUUGCCUGAAGCAAUCAUAUUGGCGCGUU
rnacentral:ncRNA from 1 species